rnacentral:lncRNA from 1 species
GCCCGGCCUCGUGCGCCGCGCUUUGAGCAGCAGACUGCUCGACAAACACUGCGCCAAGAGCUCCUCAGCAGAAGCUCCUCGCAUCAGAUCCUCUGUGCUGGGAAUCCUCCCCUCUUGAGCACACUCUGUGCUCCUCUUCCAGUUACGGUGCAUGUGAAGCAAUGGUAUGGGAAAAUUGUUUGCAGAAGGAUGAAAAGGCUUUAUUGCCAAACUGUAAGUACAUGAUUUGAAAUGUUUAUGGUCAAGAGAAAAUAUUUCUACAGCAUCAUGUAAAGCAUGUAGAUACAUUUGCACAUGUGCAUUAACAUGUAAGAACAUGUGCCUCAGACACAUGUGCCCUCCUGGAACAGCUCAUGCUGGCCCCAUGCCUGCUUCCAAGCUUCCAUCAAGUCAGGGAGUGGAGCAAAGAGGGAAGGCAGCCCCUGCACUGUAGGGACCCUUAUGCACAGAGGCAUUGAGACUGCCUGUUCCUCUUGGAAGCUUCUGCUCUCAAGAGGCAGCUAGGUUUUUGGAGCUUCUCUGCUUCAUGUCUUGCUUCCCACCCUAGGGUUCCAGAUUCUGUUCUUCCCUAGUAUUGGCAAGGUUUUUUAUAGAUAGCUCUUGGAUACAUUUGGAAGUAAUGUUUACAAAUGGUGAGAGAGAAGGCAUCUGACAUUUUUUUCUAAACACAUGCCAAUGUUUGUCUUUUCCCCACUAAUUUCAAUAAUUUGGCCUAACACUUUUGUCACAUAUUCUGACUCUUUAUUCUGAUCCAUUUAUCUACUCUGGCAUCCCCACAUGGUUUUAAGUACUGGAGCUUUACUGUAUGUCUUGGUAUCAGGCCAAGCAAACCAUGUUAGUCUUAUUUAAAACUUUCUCAGCAAUUGAUGCAUAUUUGUUUAUCCUGAUGAAUUUUAGAACUUACCAGUACUGACAUCUUCACAGCAUUGUAUCCUGUCAACAACCUAGUCUGAACCUCAAUGGUUCAGGUUUCCUUUGCACAUACAGGCCCUGAGAACUCAUAUGUUAAUGAGAAAGACAUUCCGGGAAACCAGGAGGUGAGGAGACCAAGGAUUAGGCUCCACUCCUAUUAUGAAGAUGAACAGUUUUUAGAGUAUCAUGGAGUUGGAGAAGGUACUUCAAGGAUCUCUAUGGGGAACAAGAAGGAACAGCAAAGUUCCACCAUCCUGUGCCCUUUCUGUUCAGGUUUAUUGUUGUGAAUGAGAAUUUUUUUUUUUUUAACAUGUUGUGGAUCUAUCUAUCUGAUCACCUUAUUGAACUGAGAAUGGUUCUAUGGACUUGACUUUUCUUGGACUGACAACUGUACUGUCUGGAAAUGACAGUUUCUCCUUCCUUUCAGUAUUUGUGCCUGUCUAUCCCACAUCCCUGUACUGGUCAGGAUUUCCAGGACAAUAGUGAAUAAUAGUCGGGACAACAGGCUGGUUCUGAUUCCACUGUUCCUAACAUUCUACCAAGAAGCAUGUUUUUUUUCUAUUUUGGUAGUUUUAUGUUAGGUAGCCUUAUCAAGUUAGGACUUUUUUUUUUUUUAACCCAAGCUAAAGAAAGUACCCAAAAUAAAGAAAUUUUAUCAGGAACAGGUAUAAAUUUUAAGAAACGUAUUUCAACGCCUGCUAAAAUUACCACUUAUUUUUCUAUUAUGGCAACAAAUUACAUUAAUAGAUUUUCACUGUUAUUGUUUAUCCUGGGAGAAAGCAUACUUGUGAACUUUUUUAGGUACUGUGCUUUGGAACCAAAUUUGGAAGUGAGAUGAAAUGUCAGCUGUACUCUCCUGGUUAGGUAUGAUUUCAGGGUCAGGUAUGCCUGAUAAAUGAAGUGAGAUGCUUUAACUUUGUUCUAGAAUAGUUUCUACUGCAUGGGAAUGAUCUGUUCCUUGAGGAUUUGUCACAGUCUGCCCACAGUGGACUGGAUUUGGCAUGUAGGAUGUUAAUUUCUAUUUACUUUGCAAGAAAAAUACAGUUUAGCAAGCAACAGAAACAUACUGAACAUGAACCUCACCGUCCCUCUCUCAGCUGUAGCUCCUUCUGCGUCUGCAACCUGGCUUGUUCCCACGACAAAGGAACAUCAUAUUUUUUCAAAUCGUUUUUAAAAAAAUACACACAUAUCUGACCAUCUUCACUCAGCGCCUCUGAGAAAACAAUACAAAAACAGAUAAAGAGGCCAGCCUGGCCAACCCUGUCUCAAAAAAAAAAAAAA